GAAUUUCGACCUGAACUCAAGCGUGAGCACCCGCUGAACUUAAGCAUAUCAUUUAGCGGAGGA
rnacentral:rRNA from 3 species